rnacentral:rRNA from 1 species
AGCAGCCGCGGUAAUUCCAGCUCCAAUAGCGUAUAUUAAAGUUGUUGCAGUUAAAAAGCUCGUAGUUGAAUUUCGGGAUUGACGUGAUGGUCGUGCCUUAAGGGGUAUGAACUGUUGCUGUUGAUUUCUCACCUUCUGGAGAAACUUGAUGUCCUUAAUUGGGUGUCUUGCGGAUCCAGGACCUUUACCUUGAAAAAAUUAGAGUGUUUAAAGCAGGCAUUUUGCUCGAAUACAUUAGCAUGGAAUAAUAGAAUAGGACGGCAUGGUUCUAUUUUGUUGGUUUCUAGGAUCACCGUAAUGAUUAAUAGGGAUAGUUGGGGGCAUUAGUAUUCAAUUGUCAGAGGUGAAAUUCUUGGAUUUAUUGAAGACUAACUACUGCGAAAGCAUUUGCCAAGGAUGUUUUCAUUAAUCAAGAACGAAAGUUAGGGGAUCGAAGACGAUCAGAUACCGUCGUAGUCUUAACCAUAAACUAUGCCGACUAGGAAUCAGACGAUGUUAAUUUUUAAUGACUCGU